GGUUAAGCGACUAAGCGUACACGGUGGAUGCCCUGGCAGUCAGAGGCGAUGAAGGGCGUGCUAAUCUGCGAUAAGCGCCGGUAAGGUGAUAUGAACCGUUAUAACCGGCGAUACCCGAAUGGGGAAACCCAGUGUGACUCGUCACACUAUCAUUAACUGAAUCCAUAGGUUAAUGAGGCGAACCGGGGGAACUGAAACAUCUAAGUACCCCGAGGAAAAGAAAUCAACCGAGAUUCCCCCAGUAGCGGCGAGCGAACGGGGAGGAGCCCAGAGCCUGAAUCAGCAUGUGUGUUAGUGGAAGCGUCUGGAAAGGCGCGCGAUACAGGGUGAUAGCCCCGUACACAAAAGCGCA
rnacentral:rRNA from 1 species